CCGAGUUUACAACUCCCAAACCCAAUGUGAACCAUACCAAACUGUUGCCUCGGCGGGGUCACGCCCCGGGUGCGUCGCAGCCCCGGAACCAGGCGCCCGCCGGAGGGACCAACCAAACUCUUUUCUGUAGUCCCCUCGCGGACGUUAUUUCUUACAGCUCUGAGCAAAAAUUCAAAAUGAAUCAAAACUUUCAACAACGGAUCUCUUGGUUCUGGCAUCGAUGAAGAACGCAGCGAAAUGCGAUAAGUAAUGUGAAUUGCAGAAUUCAGUGAAUCAUCGAAUCUUUGAACGCACAUUGCGCCCGCCAGUAUUCUGGCGGGCAUGCCUGUCCGAGCGUCAUUUCAACCCUCGAACCCCUCCGGGGGGUCGGCGUUGGGGACCUCGGGAGCCCCUAAGACGGGAUCCCGGCCCCGAAAUACAGUGGCGGUCUCGCCGCAGCCUCUCCUGCGCAGUAGUUUGCACAACUCGCACCGGGAGCGCGGCGCGUCCACGUCCGUAAAACACCCAACUUCUGAAAUGUUGACCUCGGAUCAGGUAGGAAUACCCGCUGAACUUAAGCAUAUCAAA
rnacentral:rRNA from 1 species